rnacentral:rRNA from 1 species
UACAGAGGGUGCGAGCGUUGUCCGGAAUCACUGGGCGUAAAGGGCGCGUAGGCGGCAGGCCAAGCGUGCGGUGAAAGUCCGGGGCUCAACCCCGGAUCUGCCGUGCGGACUGGUUUGCUAGAGCACUGUAGAGGCGAGUGGAAUUCCGGGUGUAGCGGUGGAAUGCGUAGAGAUCCGGAAGAACACCGGUGGCGAAGGCGGCUCGCUGGGCAGUGGCUGACGCUGAGGCGCGACAGCGUGGGGAGCAAACAGG